rnacentral:rRNA from 1 species
CAGUAGCCACGGUAAUACGAGGGGUGCAAGCGUUAUUCGGAUUGAUUGGGUGUAAAGGGUGUGCAGACGGCUUAUUAAGUCACUUGUUAAAUUCUUCGGCCUAACUGAAGGUCUGCAAGUGAUACUGAUGAGCUAGAGGGUGGAAGAGAGAAGUGGAAUUCUCGGAGUAGCGGUAAAAUGCGUAGAUCUCGAGAGGAACACCAACGGCGAAGGCAGCUUCUUGGUCCAUUCCUGACGUUCAUACACGAAAGCGUGGGGAGCAAACAGGAUUAGAUACCCCCGUAGUCCCUGUCUCUUAUAC